rnacentral:rRNA from 1 species
CCCUUCGGGGUGUGACUGCGUACCUUUUGUAUAAUGGGUCAGCGACUUAUAUUCUGUAGCAAGGUUAACCGUAUAGGGGAGCCGGAGGGAAACCGAGUCUUAAUUGGGCGUUAAGUUGCAGGGUAUAGACCCGAAACCCGGUGAUCUAGCCAUGGGCAGGUUGAAGGUUGGGUAACACUAACUGGAGGACCGAACCGACUAAUGUUGAAAAAUUAGCGGAUGACCUGUGGCUGGGGGUGAAAGGCCAAUCAAACCGGGAGAUAGCUGGUUCUCCCCGAAAGCUAUUUAGGUAGCGCCUCGUGAAUUCAUCUCCGGGGGUAGAGCACUGUUUCGGCUAGGGGGCCAUCCCGGCUUACCAACCCGAUGCAAACUGCGAAUACCGGAGAAUGUUAUCACGGGAGACACACGGCGGGUGCUAACGUCCGUCGUGAAGAGGGAAACAACCCAGACCGCCAGCUAAGGUCCCAAAGUCAUGGUUAAGUGGGAAACGAUGUGGGAAGGCCCAGACAGCCAGGAUGUUGGCUUAGAAGCAGCCAUCAUUUAAAGAAAGCGUAAUAGCUCACUGGUCGAGUCGGCCUGCGCGGAAGAUGUAACGGGGCUAAACCAUGCACCGAAGCUGCGGCAGCGAACGUAUCACCCAAGACAACUUUACGGAGUUGACGAUUGACGGAGCGAAGCGACGUCAAAGCGUUCAUUAAAGUCGAGUUGGCUUAGGGAUACGUUCGUUGGGUAGGGGAGCGUUCUGUAAGCCUGUGAAGGUGUGUCGUGAGGCAUGCUGGAGGUAUCAGAAGUGCGAAUGCUGACAUAAGUAACGAUAAAGCGGGUGAAAAGCCCGCUCGCCGGAAGACCAAGGGUUCCUGUCCAACGUUAAUCGGGGCAGGGUGAGUCGACCCCUAAGGCGAGGCCGAAAGGCGUAGUCGAUGGGAAACGGGUUAAUAUUCCCGUACUUGGUGUUACUGCGAAGGGGGGACGGAGAAGGCUAUGUUGGCCGGGCGACGGUUGUCCCGGUUUAAGCGUGUAGGUGUGUGUUCCAGGUAAAUCCGGUUCACUUUAACACUG